CUUAGGGUGGGCACUCUAAGUAGACUGCCGUCGACAAGACGGAGGAAGGUGGGGAUGACGUCAAAUCAUCAUGCCCCUUACGCCUUGGGCUACACACGUGCUACAAUGGGCGCUACAGAGAGCAGCGAGCCGGCAACGGUAAGCGAAUCUCAAAAAGGCGUUCUCAGUUCGGCUUGCGGGCUGCAACCAGCCCGCAUGAAGGAGGAGUUGCUAGUAAUCCCGAAUCAGCAUGUCGGGGUGAAUGCGUUCCCGGGUCUUGUACACACCGCCCGUCACGCCAUGGGAGUCGGGAGUACCCGAAGUCGGCGCGCCAACCUAAGCAAUUAGGAGGCAGCCGCCUAAGGUAAGCUCGAUGACUGGGGUGAAGUCGUAACAAGGUAGCCGUAUCGGAAGGUGCGGCUGGAUCACCUCCUUUAAGGAA
rnacentral:rRNA from 1 species